GAAGCCGGAAUCGCUAGUAAUCGCGGAUCAGAAUGCCGCGGUGAAUACGUUCCCGGGUCUUGUACACACCGCCCGUCACACCAUGGGAGUCGAUAACGCCCGAAGUCAGUGACCCAACCGAAAGGAGGGAGCUGCCGAAGGCGGGAUGGAUAACUGGGGUGAAGUCGUAACAAGGUAUC
rnacentral:rRNA from 1 species